UGUGGUGUAGCUCAGUGGUCAGAGCGGGCUAUGGAAUGCUGGCCAGCGUGGGUGCCAAAAGGUUUGCAAGCCCUAGGCAUUCAGUCCUCAAAGUGCGGUCGCCGGUUCGAAUCCGGCCGCCACAA
rnacentral:tRNA from 1 species